UAUUAAUCUACAGGAAAAGGAACAACUUUUGUGAGCGAUGGGGUGGUGAACGUGACCAUCUGCUUCAGGUGUGCUAUUCCUCGCCGUGUUUCCGUCUGGUUUCAGAGAAGAGGUUUACACCUGCAGCGGAAGGAGCGAAGACACCUCUAGUGCCUGUGACUUCUGGUGUCUAACUAAAGAACAAAGGCACAUCUGAAGGACCCCUCAACAUUAUACAGUGUGCUUGAAAGUUGGAAAGCUAAAUCGACUGUUGUGGCCAGUAGACAGAGGGCAGGGUGUCCUGUACCACACGUGAUGGGUGUGGCGGCCUGUGUCACGGUCUUGGUGUUGAUCACGUUCGUCUGCAUGGAAACAGUAUCUUGUGACAAAUGUUACCAUGCCAAGGGAAUCUGUAAAGCUGUAGGUCACACGUGCAUGGGCGUGGUCCGUACAGGCUUGUGUCGACUUCCAUCGCAUGCCUGCUGCUUUCCUCCCUAUCGUGGGAGACGAAAGCGACGCAGCUCUGGACAAGACCUAGGUCGGUUCUGGAACCGACUCAGAAACUCUGCUUAGCGAAGAAGCAAAAGAAAAGACCACCACCAGUAAAUUACGACACAAGAGCUGUUGUAGGUCUUGUCUCUCAGUUUUCAAUUACAAUUCUACAGAAUAUUGUCAUUCUAUGGGUCACAGCCUCGGUAACCUGUGAUUCUGUGCCAUGAUUUGCACUCACAAGAAUUAAGAAUCGAAUAAUGACAUUUUCCUGGAAUACCGAAUAAUUAAUCAUGGUGUCAGUGGUACGAAAAUUAAAAGACGUUGGUCAAAGGU